GCCUAACUGGCUCGGUCGGUGGAGCAUGUGACUCUUGAUCUUAGGGUUGUUGUGAGUUCAAGUCCCACGUUGGGUG
rnacentral:tRNA from 1 species